rnacentral:rRNA from 1 species
UACGUAGGGUCCAAGCGUUAUCCGGAAUCACUGGGCGUAAAGGGUGCGUAGGCGGUCGGGUAAGUCUGAUGUGAAAUCUCACAGCUUAACUGUGAAACUGCAUUGGAUACUAUCCGGCUCGAGGAAUGGAGGGGAGACUGGAAUACUUGGUGUAGCAGUGAAAUGCGUAGAUAUCAAGUGGAACACCAGUGGCGAAGGCGAGUCUCUGGACAUUUCCUGACGCUGAGGCACGAAAGCCAGGGGAGCAAAUGGG